rnacentral:lncRNA from 1 species
CCAAUUUGUCAGCCGUCAUCACGUAAAAACGAUGAAUCAAAGAAUUCAACUUUAUAUAUAACUAAUAUAGUACAAUGCUGUUGAUUAAAAAUUACACCACUCCAGACCCUUUUGUUUUCCACAUAAUUAAUAUUGCCAAUAAUUAAGAAGUUCCGGGUCGAAUCCGAUACCGAUACCAAUAGUAUAUUCACCUGUUACCUAUUAACUUAUCUGUACGUUCCGCAUCUGACAGGCGCACCACCAA